rnacentral:misc_RNA from 1 species
UACGAGGGGGGCAAGUGUUGUUCGGAAUCACUGGGCGUAAAGGGAGCGUAGGCGGAUGCUUAAGGUGGAUGUUUAAAACCGGGGCCCAACCCCGGGGCGGCAUCCAAAACUGGGCGUCUUGAAUGGAACAGAGGCUAGUGGAAUUGGGGGUGUAGCGGUGGAAUGCGUAGAGAUCCCCAAGAAAACCAAUUGCGAAGGCAUCUAGCUGGGUUCACAUUGACGCUGAGGCUCGAAAGCAUGGGGAGCAAACAGG